AAUGAACGCUGGCGGCAUGCCUAACACAUGCAAGUCGAACGAAGGCUUCGGCCUUAGUGGCGCACGGGUGCGUAACGCGGGGGAAUCUGCCCUGGGGUUCGGAAUAACAGUUAGAAAUGACUGCUAAUACCGGAUGAUGUCGUAAGACCAAAGAUUUAUCGCCGAAGGAUGAGCCCGCGUAGGAUUAGCUAGUUGGCGGGGUAAAGGCCCACCAAGGCGACGAUCCUUAGCGGGUCUGAGAGGAUGAUCAGCCACACUGGGACUGAGACACGGCCCAGACUCCUACGGGAGGCAGCAGUGGGGAAUAUUGGACAAUGGGCAAAAGCCUGAUCCAGCAAUGCCGCGUGAGUGAUGAAGGCCUUAGGGUUGUAAAGCUCUUUUACCCGGGAUGAUAAUGACAGUACCGGGAGAAUAAGCUCCGGCUAACUUCGUGCCAGCCGCCGCGGUAACAC
rnacentral:rRNA from 1 species